GUGCUCACUUCAGCAGCACAUAUAAGUAGAUUGGAAUGAUGCAGGGAAGGUUAGCACAGCCCUGUACAAGGAUAACACGCGAAUUUAUGAAGUUCCAUAUACUGUG